AUGCCCGGACUACAAUUCCCAGCAGGCGCAGCGGCAGGGCCUGGCCGCAGCAGCCAAUCAGCGCCCGCGCUCUCUCACUAUAAAAGGCCCGCGGCCGCUCGCCUUCACCCUCUCCCUGUAAUGGCGGCGCGGCGUGAGGGCUGCGGCCCGGGCUCCAUCCGCCGCCAUCCGCCCGCUGCCGGCGCUUUUCCUACGCCCGGCCUCGCCUCAUCGGUGCCCCGGGGGCUCGGCUACCGGGCGGCGGCGGCUGAAGGCGCUCGGAUGGCGGGGGGCGCGGCUGCGGGGUGAGAUGGCCGCUUCCCUGCCUCUGCGUGAGGAACUACGUGGAGCUGGAGAUUGCUGCGGUCCCCAGCAUCAUCCUGCCGUGGGAGGUGGCCCUGCAGUGCCAGGCAGUGUGUUCCAGGGUUCCUUGCUGCUUCCGAGCUCGCCCAGCUGACGGCCCGCCUGCCGGGGAGGAUGCAAGGAAUUACUCCCUUGGUGGAAGAGGCCGAGAGCUCGUGAGCCCCUCUCCCCCACGAAGGGAAUCAGUUCGCUGAAGGCCGAAACCACGAGGGAAGUGGGAAUGGAUUGGGUGUACGUGGAGCUGAGGGAGGGUUUCGGUGUCUCAGACUCCAGUAUCCUGCUCCUGGUAACGGGAUCCCGGCUCCUCGGUGAGCUGUGAGCUCCCCCGGGCGGGAGAGCUGCUGCUGUGCACCCGUCGCUGAGCACCGCGGGCAGCGGGGACCUUGUGGGGUCUGGGUGCUGCCGAAGCUUCCGUUCGUGUGCUCGCAGUGGAAGAAGGAUCCCUUCCAGGGAGGUUUCACAAAGAGCUGUGGGGGGAGGAUCUGGAAGUACUUAAAAUAGGUGAAUAUUUGAGAAUGUGUGGAAUAUCGGGGGGGUGAAUAAAGGCGGUCAC